UGUCCAAUGAUGUAGUUGCGCGCCACGCGAGAGCCAAUCAGGUAAUCGUUUAUUCUGACCAAUGAGAGAGCAGCCGAAUUUCCGUUGAGCCCCCGCCGCGUCCAGCGCGGGAAUUCGGUGCGCCGCGACAUGGCGAGGAUCGAGAUGUGAUUGGAUUGCGCCUGCUUGAACGGGCGUUUCAGUUUGUUUGUUUGUCUGCUGGAUACACGCUUGGUUGGCUCCGAG
rnacentral:lncRNA from 1 species